GGGCUCGCUUCGGCAGCACAUAUACUAAAAUUGGAACGAUACAGAGAAGAUUAGCAUGGCCCCUGCACGAGGAUGACACGCAAAUUCGCGAAGCGUUCUAUAUUUUU
rnacentral:snRNA from 1 species